UAAGUCCAACAUAGCGUAUUC
rnacentral:siRNA from 1 species